GGGGUUGUGGCUCAGUGGUAGAGCGCUCGCCUAGCAUGUGAGAGGCCCUGGGUUCAAUUCUCAGCACCACA
rnacentral:tRNA from 1 species